CUCAGUAAAAUUCAUGCGAACACAGCGAGUUAUAGCUUGAGCUAACGGGCACAAGUGACUUUUACCUCGGCCGAUAGCUCUCGUUUGCUGUUAAUAAAAUAUGCACGGUUGCACCUCGUUUGACCAAAAUCGACACUUAUUUGAGAACACUCCAAGUCGUGUGCACUCUGUGGCCCGCGUUUAAAGCAUGAUCUAAACGAAGAACAAAAUAAAAUUUAAAUAAAAUUUCUUUUUCUUUGUAAAUCUCUAGGCAAAAUAAAUAAAAGUCUUAUCGUUCAAACUUAUGAUCUGUACACGUGUGAACCAAGCAUAAGGUUAUGUGUAAAUAAUUAACAACAAAGCCUACAAAAAUAGCGUUGUAUUCAGAUUUGUGAAUGAAAAGAAUAACAGCAAUAUCAAUGACAGAGAGGAUGAGAAGUGGAAGUACACAUGAAGAAACGAAAAAAAUAAAAAAAUUGAUUGGUGCUUUCAAUAUUACUCGAAAACUGACGAUAACUUGGGCGAUAAACCGGUCAAGAGCAAGCCGAAGUAUUUACAGAUAUUCAUGAGAGACGACAUGUAGAAGGACUAUUAUCUCAAAUUUGGAAGUGAUUCUCAACGAACCCCACUUUACACUGCAAGCUAUCAAUGCAGAGUUGCAACAACGUCUACCAAUAAAGCUAUUUGUCAGUGAAUAUACGUACCGCACCGUAACGUUAGGAGAGGGUGUAAGGGCGUUUUGAUUGACGUCAUCAACAUGUUAACGCCCUUAAUCGUAAUAUUUAGGCACAGGCUGAAUAAAUUUAAUUAAUAAAUGAUUUGCGUAAUAUCACAGAAAAAUGGUCAAUUGUCAUGUGCAUUUUACGUAUAUUAAUGAAGGGAGAGCAUAGCUCUUUUGUUUGGCAACAAUACGUUUUCUUUUUAAAAAUUAGAUUUGAUAGAUAUCUGGUAUUUUGUUCAAGUACGAACAAUAAAUUAAUCAUGUGGAACAAAUAUGUAUAACGACAUGCUAGUCACUUGAACUUUGCCACAUAUAAACCACGAGGCGUCAUGGAAAGUAGAUAUCUUUCACAUGAGAUGGAACAAGACUACACACAUAGGUGACAGAUGUAUUUGAACGUGUUGAAGAAAGACCGCCAACAUCAGUGAAGGCAGCAGAACAAGAAUUGGAAAGUAUGAGGUAUGACUUUGAACAAACGUUUUGAAAACAUGGAAAAAUACAGCUCAAAAUACGUUCAUAUGACUGAAGGAGAAGAUUGAUUGUAGCCGAUAAUUCGGGCAUAAUCCGAUCAACAGCAAGAGACGGCUAGAAACUAAAAAUAUGGUAGAUGCCACAUGGAUGAAGUUGUUAAAGUCCCUUUACCACCUCUGUCAUUCAC